GUUCGGUUUUGCACAGGUGACCUCGAUCUCUUAAAGCAUCGAACCCAGUCAGGCGGCUACCAGACUCGCGUCGGGCUCCCCAAGAAUAGCUGGGCCGGGAGUUUCUCUUUGCGACAAGGCCUCCAUGGCCUACAUGGUAGCAUCCUCUCAAAAAACGUGAUGGCUAGCACGGCAUGCAAGAGAGAGACUGGUCCCAAUGAAUGGAUGAGUGGGUAGAUGUCUACAGCUCAGCUAACUUCGUGCAUUGUUCUAAAAAAAAAAGCUAACUUCGUGCAUGCAUUGGAGACGGCCUAAGAGCAUCUCUAGCAGUUACCAAAAACGGUCGGCCUGAGACGUUACCGAAAACAGGCGGCCCGAAUUCUGUUCUCGGUUUAGGGCCAAAAAAAAAACCAUCCCGAUCAGAUACCAAAAUGCGACCCGAAACUGAAACACGAGAUCGGAUUAACAAAACGGCCCGAAACGAGCUCGUAUAUCUACGGUUCGGAGGGGCCGUGUCGGUACCAAAUCCGAACCACAUCGCCACCCCAAACCAUCGUGCCGCCGCCCCAAGCCACCGCAAUGAGGCCGCAUUCAACGUCAAGCGGA
rnacentral:lncRNA from 1 species